rnacentral:hammerhead_ribozyme from 1 species
ACUCAGAUGACAAGUCCCAAACAGGAUGAAAUGUGCAUCUUGAAU